rnacentral:sRNA from 1 species
GCUGGGCGUGAUGGCACAUGCCUGUAAUCCCAGCUCCUCGGGAGGCUGAGGUGGGAGGAUCACCUGAGGUCAGGAGUUCAAGACCAGCUUGGCCAACAUGGUGAAACCUCUCUCUACUAAAAAUACAAAAAUUAGCCGGGGGUGGUGGCGGGCGCCUAUAGUCCCAGCUACUCGGGAGGCUGAGGUGGGAGGAUCACCUGAAGUCAGGAGUUCAAGACCAGCCUGGCCAACAUGGUGAAACCUCAUCUCU